AUAGAUACCCAGGUAGUCCACGCCGUAAACGAUGAGUGCUAAGUGUUAGGGGGUUUCCGCCCCUUAGUGCUGCAGCUAACGCAUUAAGCACUCCGCCUGGGGAGUACGGUCGCAAGACUGAAACUCAAAGGAAUUGACGGGGGCCCGCACAAGCGGUGGAGCAUGUGGUUUAAUUCGAAGCAACGCGAAGAACCUUACCAGGUCUUGACAUCCCAUUGGCCACUAUGGAGACAUAGUUUUCCCUUCGGGGACAACGGUGACAGGUGGUGCAUGGUUGUCGUCAGCUCGUGUCGUGAGAUGUUGGGUUAAGUCCCGCAACGAGCGCAACCCUUGUUCUUGGUUGCCAUCAUUUAGUUGGGCACUCUAAGGAGACUGCCGGUGACAAACCGGAGGAAGGUGGGGAUGACGUCAAAUCAUCAUGCCCCUUAUGACCUGGGCUACACACGUGCUACAAUGGACGGUACAAACGGUUGCCAACCCGCGAGGGGGAGCUAAUCCGAUAAAACCGUUCUCAGUUCGGAUUGUAGGCUGCAACUGCUACGA
rnacentral:rRNA from 1 species